rnacentral:rRNA from 1 species
GACGAACGCUGGCGGCGUGCCUAAUACAUGCAAGUAGAACGCUGAAGAGAGGAGCUUGCUCUUCUUGGAUGAGUUGCGAACGGGUGAGUAACGCGUAGGUAACCUGCCUUGUAGCGGGGGAUAACUAUUGGAAACGAUAGCUAAUACCGCAUAACAAUGGAUGACACAUGUCAUUUAUUUGAAAGGGGCAAUUGCUCCACUACAAGAUGGACCUGCGUUGUAUUAGCUAGUAGGUGAGGUAAUGGCUCACCUAGGCGACGAUACAUAGCCGACCUGAGAGGGAGAUCAGACACACUGGGACUGAGACACGGCGCAGACCUCUACGUGAGGCAGCAGGAGGGAAUGUUCGGGGAUGGGGGCAAGCGUGACCGAGUAAAGAGGCGUGAGUGUAGGAUGUUAUCGGAUCGUAAAGCUCCGGUGUAAGUCAAGAACGGGUGUGAGAGUGGAAAGUUCACACGGUGACGGUAGCUUAGCAGAAAGUGACGGCUAACUACGUG